GACGAACGCUGGCGGCGUGCUUAACACAUGCAAGUCGAACGUGAUUUUUGUGGAAAUUCUUUCGGGAAUGGAAAUGAAAUGAAAGUGGCGAACGGGUGAGUAACACGUGAGCAACCUGCCUUACACAGGGGGAUAGCCGUUGGAAACGACGAUUAAUACCGCAUGAGACCACAGAAUCGCAUGAUAUAGGGGUCAAAGAUUUAUCGGUGUAAGAAGGGCUCGCGUCUGAUUAGCUAGUUGGAAGGGUAAAGGCCUACCAAGGCGACGAUCAGUAGCCGGUCUGAGAGGAUGAACGGCCACAUUGGAACUGAGACACGGUCCAAACUCCUACGGGAGGCAGCAGUGGGGAAUAUUGCACAAUGGGGGGAACCCUGAUGCAGCGACGCCGCGUGAGCGAAGAAGGUUUUCGAAUCGUAAAGCUCUGUCCUAUGAGAAGAUAAUGACGGUAUCAUAGGAGGAAGCCCCGGCUAAAUACGUG
rnacentral:rRNA from 1 species